CUUAGCCCUAAUCAGUUAAGACCUGAGCGUCGUCUUCUUGGCUUCCCUCAAUCGACGAUGCGGCGGUGAUGCGUUCUAGAUCCGUAACUGUAUCAUGGCGAUGUUCUUCUUACUGAUUUGAGGAUGAAUAGCGAAGAAAUCUUAUCUCCUCCUACCCAGUUCUUCUGCUGAGAAUUUUGGAUUGGCCAAAAACGUAAAGAGAAGCGGUGAGAGUAUGGUCGUGGACAUGCUCUCGCUUUCAUAACACGACGCCUCCGUGAUCCCGAAUCUUCUAUCCGAUGAGUCUGCGUCGCAACUGUGUCGGCAAUCUCUUCCCGUACGACGAAGCCUUUUUUGUUUAUGCAUUCAUCAAGCCGUUGACGGAUUUGCUUUUGACAGAGUAGGAUGUUAAUACGCAGAUCAGAGAAGCGUUGUGUCUUGUGGCGGAGUCUGAUGUUGCGGAGGAUCCGGCUCUUAAUACAGAUGCUUCUUCCUAGGCUGGAGAAGUUGGUGAAGUGUAAAGCUUCUAAGGCAAAGUCGGCGGGAAUGGUUGUGAACGGAAGCGUGAUUAGUGCUGGUAGAGCUACGGUGAGCUCUGGUGGAAAGCAUAGUUGACUACUUGAAGAUUUGGGCGGCGAGGAAAGCAGCCGCCGAGGCAUUAGAGGAGUUAGCUACGGUGGAAAGAAAUGAUUUUGGAGAGUACAAAGCUAAGUCUUUGAAGAUCUUCAAAAGCAAGAAACACGACAAGGUGAAACCUGUGAGAGAAGUGAUGGAUCAGAUGAUGGAGGCAUGGAAACAAAUCCGGUUUAUCAGAAGAGGUUUCCAUUUUCGAGCAUCUAAUGUUCCCCACUAGAUCCACAUUUGGAUGUGUUUGAACAAGGGGCGAAUGAAGUUGCUCUCUCUGUUGUUAGUGGAGUUCACUGUAAGGCAUGUUACUGAACCGUGAGAGCUGAAAAAAGAUUUAACAAAUAAGGUAAACAAGAACAUCCUGCAAGGACUUUACACUCAAGAAAGAUUAAGAAACCACAUCCGGGGCUGCUGCAUUUUGUGUUUGUCGAAGACCAGAAGAAGAACGUUUGGCAAUGGAGGUGUGUUUAUGCAUCAAAAAACUAAAGGAUCUAUCUUUCACGGUUCUCUGACUCCCCGUAAGCUUCAAAUCUCUCUUCCUCUCCCUGAUAUUAAUCUGACCCUUGGGUUAUCUUUUUAUUAAGAUUCUGAAUUUCUGUUUCGAGUCUGUGUAUCUUUUUCAAGUUUGUGCUUAGUCUUGAGGUGUUAAAGGUAUGAUUGUAUUUACUUAUUCUUCCUGCUAUUGAGUAGUACUAAACAAUAAGAUUUUUUAUUUUGUUUUUUAGUUUUUCUAUGAAUGUAACAUUGUAAAUGUCUUCACUUGGUAUCAAGGUCAGAGAGAGAGUGUGAGAGUAUCAUUGUACUGGAUUUAGUUGUUGGAACCAUCCACACCCAUUCUUGGUACAUUGUAAAGUGGUUGGUGUUGUUUAUUGGUUUGGUUUUUAAUUUCUUUUGCUUUGGCCCUGCAAUUUACAGUAUCUCUUUUUCCU